GAUCCUGGCUUAGGAUGAACGCUAGCGACAGGCCUAACACAUGCAAGUCGAGGGGCAGCGCGGGAGAAGCUUGCUUUCCUGGCGGCGACCGGCGCACGGGUGCGUAACAGGUGUGCAAUCUGUCCAUAGUCGGGGGAUAGCCCAGCGAAAGCUGAAUUAAUACUCCAUGUGAAUCGAAGCCGCAUGACUUUGAUUUGAAACGCAAGGACUAUGGGUGAGCACGCUUCUGAUUAGGUAGUUGGUGGGGUAACGGCCCACCAAGCCGACGAUCAGUAGGGUUCUGAGAGGAAGGUCCCCCACAUUGGAACUGAGACACGGUCCAAACUCCUACGGGAGGCAGCAGUGAGGAAUAUUGGUCAAUGGGCGAGAGCCUGAACCAGCCAAGUCGCGUGAAGGAUGAAGGUUCUAUGGAUUGUAAACUUCUUUUGUCCGAGGGUAAAGGAGGCUACGUGUAGCUUUUUGCAAGUAUCGGACGAAUAAGCAUCGGCUAACUCCGUGCCAGCCGCCGC
rnacentral:rRNA from 1 species